UUUCCUAGGCAACCAACGGAGGACUUGUUCCUCAUCCUUGCCUAGGGGAAAGUACCCAGACCCCAGCAGAAAGUGCCAUGUGCACAUGCACGCAGACUGUCCCUACUUCUCACAUUAAGUCGGCCAAGAAGCCCACCCAGCUGUGCGGUGUCUUGUGGGGAUGUCAUCCGUCAGCAAUAAUAGUCACA
rnacentral:RNase_MRP_RNA from 2 species